CCCACACCCAGGCCAAGUGUACCCUGUACCCGCAUCCUUCUCUGGUGAUGUCCCUCCCCAUCAUUAAAGGGGGAGGGAUGUCCCGCACAAUUGGCUAAUGGUAAUACUUGGGCGACACUAUGGCAGGGGUCAUUCCGCCAUUGGUCGUCUGUCACCCGCAUGUCAUGCCUGCUAAUGACAGACGCCUAGUGUGCACAGAAUUAACAUUAUCCAGUCUGAAACUCUUACUCCGGGCUGUCUCAUUACUCUGCUAGAGGUGGAGUUAAACAUCUGGCAGUGCUGGGCUGUAUCUCAUACUGAAUGCUGCAUAUACAGACUCCAAGCACAACAACAACUUAAAAUCAAUGAAGUGGUUAUGGUGCAUGGAGCAACACUUUAAAGGGACCAUUUCAAUAUUAAAUGGCUGACUCAGUUACUUACUGUAGGGCUGUAUAGAGCUGCCAAAUAAAAAUAUUCCAUUUUGGCAUAGGAUAUGCAGAAACAAAUUGUCAAGGCAUCCUAAUAGUAUUUAGUUCUCAAGGGGUUAAUUUUUCUUUAUUCUUCUGAGAAAUGAUUCAUGUAUUUUAGGAUCAUCCACACACUUGUUUUAUACUUUUCAAAGAGGAGCCAUUAAAAAUUUUUUACCCUUUUUUAUUUUUCUUUUCUUAAAAAAACCUACAAAAAAAAUACACUCCAUUCUAUUCUUGUAACAGAGUUUCUAAACUAGAGUAAGUGAUUUUCAGCAGCUUAAGAGUUUGGCAGACAUUCCGUCUUAAAUAUAUUUUUUUAAUGUAUUUAUUUCCUAGUGCGCUCUUAAAAUAACUUUUAUAAACUGGUAACUUCCACUCGCGCCGGUUUCAUAAUUAAUCAUGUUCACAACGUCGUACAUUUAGGUUACAUAUUAGUCUAUAAGUCUAAUCAUCCACUUUUCCUGUGGAAAUUGGUCAAAUCCUGGCUGUUUGAAGUAUUUGGAUGAAUCACAUAAUUUAUUUGAACAGAAAUCUCUUUUUUUUGUUCCUAGCGAUUUUUAUUAUUUUUUUAAACGCGUGUGAAGACAGCUUCAUAGGAAACAAUAAUAGUUUAAUCUGUUAAAAAAUGCCCUUCCUGGAUUGUGAGCCCUUUUUUUUAGGUCAUUGAAGCAAGCCAAAGGAAAUUAACCAUAGUUUAUGCCAAGAACACGUUGUAACAAGAAUCUAUUAGCUGAAGGCCCACAUCAUCUAUUAAAACAGAUCAUAAGAGACUACUUGUCUAUCUCUGUUUCCCUCAUAAAUGCUAUUUCCGGCUAUUUCCUUUUUAUGCCAAUCUCAGAAGAUGUCCUGCGAGAUAUUUAUUGGCAAAAUGUCUUCUCUGGCAGAGGCUUGCUAUAAACAUUGAAAUAAAACAUAAACACCUUCUUCUAGAUUGGUGUUGCUGGCAAAUGGGUGUAAUUCUGGUUAAUUUGAGUGAAUAAAUUAGCCUAAAUUAAGUUUUAAAAAACAACAAUGUCUUAAAGGGACACUCCAUGCACCAACACAAUUUGUAUGCACUUUUGCCUUCAGUAAAUAUUUGUAUUUUUGCAUGCCCAAUAUUAUAUAACCUUUGAAAAAAAAGUUUUGUUACUUUCUGCACCUGUCUCUUCUAUGUCACCACCCCUAUUCUAAAAUACUUAUUUUUUUUUACUGGUUAUUGUACUUUCAUAACUUACCUUACAUCUCCCUCGCUUUCUAUCUCUACCUCCUUGUCUUGCCAAGACUGUUGCUCAUGUCAUCAUGAAGAACAGUUAUGUUUAAUAUCAGGAAUAGACAAGCUUAGGAACUCCAGAUGUCGCAAACUGCAUCUCCCCUGGUGCUUUGCCAGCAAUGUGGCGGUUAGAACGCCAUGGGGGAUGUAGUCCACAUCUGGAGUUCCAAAUGUUGCCUACCUAUGCUUCUGAUAAACUGAACUACAAGUACCAGAAAUCUCUUCUCUGAGCAGGACAGAGGCGGUGCACAGAGAGUUUUGAAAUUUGCUCGUCAGCUUCUCCACAAUACAUGUUAUUAUUAGGCAGUGUGCCAGAUUUUUAGCUAUGAUUUUUUGCAUUUGUUGGCUAGUGAUUGUCACAUUUCUAAACAACCAGUGUCACUUCUGCACUUGAACUUUGCAAUAUAGGGUUAAACAUUUCCAGCAGUUCAGACUCCAUGGACCAGUAUGAUCAGUUCCUGAUGUUUCAAGCUUCAUCCUGGAGUGAUUAAAGCUGAAAAUUGUUUGAAUAAUGUGUGGUGAUUUGCGUAAAAUGAAGUUUUAAAGUGAGAAUUAAUUUUUUCUUAAUUUUGAAUUGGUAGAUUUUGCACAUCUUUAAGACAGUAUCUGUACCAGUGGCUGUUUUUAUAUUUUUAACUUUUUGCAGGGACAGACUCCAUUUUGUAUAAUAUCUUCCUACUGACUUGUAGGCAUUUUAAAUGGUAAAUGGGGGCAGGAGGUUAACCAUCAUCACAUACAAUGCUAUAUUCACCAAAUGCCAAUAGUAGGGAAAUGUGACAGAUAUUGCUGUAUUCAGCAUAUUAAAAAAUAAUUAUCUAGCUACAUUGCAUCCAAUAUAUACUAUUAUCACUUUGUGAAGCAGCUUGUAAAAGAACUCUUUAUGAGAAGUGUAAAACACAUAAAAUACAAAUAAAAGAAACAAAUAGUAAAAUGCCGUCCUUUCCAAGAUAAGUGGACAUUGUCUUGAUUUACAGUACAAAUGCUAACUGUGUCUUCAUCCCAUUAUGGCAUCACUAGCUGCAGUAAUGAAGUCCUCGUCGUAUCUCGUUGAAUGGAUGGUCUGGAUGGAAAUGAUAAUAACAUGUGUUAAUAGAGAGGAUGACCUUAAAUUAGGUUUGGUGGUGCUUCUGAAACAUUCCAUAAAUGGCAUCAUUCCAACAUUAAGUCAAAGCCACUUUGUUGUAUUAAUGAGCCUUUAGCUGUCCUCAGUAUAACCUUUUUUUAACCCAAGGAUGUGUCAUAAGAAGUAAAACGCCUUCUAAGGAUAACAUUAUAAGGAAAAUGUUAAGUUUCUCAUAUGACUUAGUGAGUGAUAGGGAUAGAUAGAUCACCUUUAAAGUCCCAAAAAAUAGUAUUUGUGACAAACUCCCCUUUCCAAGUGAGUUUGCCACGGGUUCCUGCCUACCCUCAGCAUGGAGUCUCAUCUCAUGUGUGGGGAGAACAGCUGUAUCUGCUCUGGGGAUUGCUAUGUCACUAUACUCCUCUGGGUUAUAAUCACUUGCUCUUGUAAGAGCAGCCUGCUACACUCACUGGAGUAGGAGGGGUCUGCCCACUGGAAGCUGGAUCCUGGUCUUGGGUCCAGGGUGAGGGAAGGACGGCGAGAUCCCAGCCAAGCUGUAACGCUGGAAGUGGGGACUACGGUGCUGAUGGUGUCUGGUGGAGUGCUUGGAAGUACUCGGAGGUACUAGGAAGCAGUGAUUGGCAGAGGCACCCAGUCAGGGUGCCAGGUGGUUACAGUAUUGAUAUGAAAAAUGCUUGAGCCUCUGUUUCAAAUGAAUAUUUAGAAGUGUCUAAAUGUCUAUGAAGAAUUGUUUUACUCACAAAAUAAUUUGGUAACUUUUUUAGUCGUCUAUGAAUAAUUAUUGGCACUGUGUUAGCAUGUUACCAAAUAAAAAUAAAAUAAGGAAACAUUGUAUAAGUGAUACCUUAAUUGGAUCAUGGAAGAAGGUUAUUGUGCAAGGUUUCACUAAGGUUCCUUCAUCAGGGUGGUUUGUUUGGUGCUCAGAUUCCUCCUUGGAUCAACAACCUGUUUACAUACCUAGCAAUUAUAUCCUUGAAUAUUCUGUUUCUGCAGAAAAGCAUCCAAACCUUUUAAAGAAAAAUCUGAUGAAACAAUCUAUUGCUAUAUAGCACAUACAAAACACAAUGACCCCCAUGCUAGUUCUGCAUCAAGUUCCCUGGGUAAUUCUUAAUGAGCUUACAUCUCAAAAUAUGCCACAGACUUGUUGUCUUUCAUCCUAUUUCUGUGGUCAGUAGAAAUAGUACUAUUAAGUUGGGUAAUAACAGUACCCCACCUGUACCCCAGAUCAUACUAAGAAACUUGUAGAUAUACCCUAUGAUGUAAGUUUGUGAUCUGGAUGUAACCCAUGGAAGGUCAGCAUAUUGCCAGUUUGUGAUCUGGAUGUAACCCAUGGAAGGUCAGCAUAUUGCCAGUUUGUGAUCUGCAUGUAACCCAUGGAAGGUCAGCAUAUUGCCAGUUUGUGAUCUGGAUGUAACCCAUGGAAGGUCAGCAUAUUGCCAGUUUGUGAUCUGGAUGUAACCCACGGAAGGUCAGCAUAUUGCCAGUUUGUGAUCUGGAUGUAACCCACGGAAGGUCAGCAUAUUGCCAGUUUGUGAUCUGGAUGUAACCCAUGGAAGGUCAGCAUAUUGCCAGUUUGUGAUCUGGAUGUAACCCAUGGAAGGUCAGCAUAUUGCCAGUUUGUGAUCUGGAUGUAACCCACGGAAGGUCAGCAUAUUGCCAGUUUGUGAUCUGGAUGUAACCCAUGGAAGGUGUGUAUAUUACCAGUUUGUGAUCUGGAUGUAACCCAUGGAAGGUCAGCAUAUUGCCAGUUUGUGAUCUGGAUGUAACCCAUGGAAGGUCAGCAUAUUGCCAGUUUGUGAUCUGGAUGUAACCCAUGGAAGGUCAGCAUAUUGCCAGUUUGUGAUCUGGAUGUAACCCAUGGAAGGUCAGCAUAUUGCCAGUUUGUGAUCUGGAUGUAACCCAUGGAAGGUCAGUAUAUUGCCAGUUUGUGAUCUGGAUGUAACCCAUGGAAGGUCAGCAUAUUGCCAGUUUGUGAUCUGGAUGUAACCCAUGGAAGGUCAGCAUAUUGCCAGUUUGUGAUCUGGAUGUAACCCACGGAAGGUCAGCAUAUUGCCAGUUUGGGAUCUGGAUGUAACCCAUAGAAGGUCAGCAUAUUGCCAGUUUGUGAUCUGGAUGUAACCCAUAGAAGGUCAGCAUAUUGCCAGUCUGGUAGUUCCUUGGUUUACCACACAGGAAAGGCUUUCAGAUCCAUCAUGUUCCACUUCCAUUGUUUGGUAGAUAAACCACUCAUCUGAUCCUGUGGCAGAAUUUAUCAGUAGAUGGCCUGAUAUAUGGUCAGAUAAACAGACAGGUGAAUAGACAAGCUAAUUUGCUUCCAAUUACCCCAGUACUUUUUCAUUGUCAUUCACAUUACUUUAUUCUUCAUAUUUAUGCUAUACAUCUGCUUAAAGAAAAGAUAAUGAUAUACAGAUAUACUCAUAAUGUAUACAUUACACACAGCAUCAGAGCAUACAUAUUACAGAGAAUUCUUUGUAUUGUCGCCUCUACGUAACAUAGUACAUACCUGUCUUAUGCUGUUGGCUUGGUGUAUUUUG